rnacentral:rRNA from 1 species
UACGUAGGGUGCGAGCGUUGUCCGGAAUUACUGGGCGUAAAGAGCUCGUAGGUGGUUUGUCGCGUUGUUCGUGAAAACUCACAGCUUAACUGUGGGCGUGCGGGCGAUACGGGCAGACUGGAGUACUGCAGGGGAGACUGGAAUUCCUGGUGUAGCGGUGGAAUGCGCAGAUAUCAGGAGGAACACCGGUGGCGAAGGCGGCCCUCUGGACGGAUACUGACGCUGAGGCGCGAAAGCGUGGGGAUCAAACAGG